GUGAGAACAGUGCACAUAUACUGAAAUUGGAAUGGUACAGAGAUUAGCAUGGCUCCUGCAAAAACAGGACAUGCGCAUUUAUGAGGCAUUAUAUAUUUUU
ensembl:snRNA U6 U6 spliceosomal RNA